UGUUUGUGUGUGGUCCCAAAAAACGAGAAAAAAAAGAACUUGUGAAAAAGGCAAAAAAAUCAAAGGAGUCACCUUCAUCCAUCUAGAAGCGUCUCUUUAUUCUUGUUUGUUUUUCUUCCAUUGCGGAACCGCCUCUACGUCGCUCAUGGCCCUGCGCUCCCAACGCCGUGGCCGUGCGCCAGCCUUGCCCCCGCACUCGCUACCGGUGGUCGUCAAGCUCCGACUGUCCACACGCCUCCGCCUUAUUCUGAGCUUACCCGUGUGGCUCCUCCGCAUCCUCCCUCAGCGGCGUCGAGGAUGCGCUCGCCCGCGCGGUGGCUGGGCGAAUCUCGUCGGGCGGCCGAGCUCCGCGGCUAGAGGUCGUCCGCUUCUUCCCCGAUUUUGGCCGACGUGCAGUCAAAUUGCCUAUCAUAGUCACCCUGGCGUAUGAUCAUGUCAGACUAUUUUUAUUACUAAUAAUAUCAUUAGUGCUUAUAAAUAAUUCUAUCUAGGCCUAUGUGUAAUAAAUUUGCUGUAAUAAUCACUGCCGAGUCUGGUAUACGGUCAGCCUAUUUUCAUUACUUUAUCAUUCGGUCAAUAAAUAAUUACAUAUGGACCUGUGUGUAAUAAUCAAAGGACAGUUGUUAGUCAAGCCUUUGGGGAGGCUAUUUUUUAUUACUAAACAUUAUUGUUUGGGACUAUACAAAGACUUGUGAGCAGUAAAUUUGCUUAUGAUAUGCGUAAUAAAAUUUGUUCUAAUAGUCAGUUACGUGUCAGGUCUUUAGCGAGACAAUUUUUUAUUACUAAACAUUAUUGUUUGGGACUAUAAAUAAUUAUGUCAAGACUUGUGAGCGGUAAAUUUGCUUAUGAUGAUCAACGGGGCAUCCGUUAUCCAGACAUGAUAAUUUUUAUUACUAAUAGGGUCAAUUGGAUCUAUAAAUAAUUUCAAUCCUGCAUAGUAAAAUUUAUUGUAACAAUAUGAUAAUAUAAGUAAUAAAAAAGUUAACCUGAUCGCUAAAAUUGGCAUAGGAAAAUUUAUUGUUGACAUUCGUUGAUGGAAUUAUUUACUUAACCAAAUAAUAGUUUGAGUAAUGAAAAAUAAUCUAACUGAAGACCGGAUACGCUGAUGACAUAGGCAAAUUAACUACUCACAGGGCAUGGUGGAGUUAUUUAAUUACCAAAAUUAUACUAUCAAUAAUAAAAAGUAGCCUGAACACAUCGGAGAGUGUGAGUAAUAAAAAAUAGCUUGACUAAAAUUAUGGUAAUUUUUUAAUUACUGGUACUAUCACUUUAUUUAGUAUAUUAUAUCUUAGCUUGUGAGUGGUUAAUUUGCCUGUGCUAAUCACUGGGUGUCAGGUCAAGUUGUUUUUUUAUAACUGAUCUAUCAUUUUGUUUGGUAAAUAUUACAUCGUGGCUUGUGAGUAGUUAAUUCAUUUGGUUUAUAAAAAAUUCCGUGCAGACCUAUGUAUAGUAAAAUUUAUUAUAAUAGUCACUGGCAUGUUUUGUUGUAAUAAUAUCAUUUCAGUUAAUAAAUUAUUUCAUUCUAACCCGUGUGCAGUCAAAUUGCCUAUCAUAGUCACGUAUGGAAAUUAAUUUUCAAACUGGUUAAUUUUUCAAACAAAAGUAAAAGUUUCAUGUUCUUUGCCCGGUCAAAAUAAUGUUCCAUAAAAAGUAUAGUGUCAUUCGGAUAUUGCAAAAUAGAGAGCCUCCAUCAAUUAGGUACGGUAAUGAUAUACUUAAGACGUCCGUCCGUUCGGACGUUGCUGUCCACUCAUUUCGCUCCUCCUCGAUGCCUUCUUAUCCACUCAUUCUUUUCCACUCUACUCUUUUCUCUCGUCUCGCUGCCGCCCGCCGCUCCCACCAUGCGGUCGCACUUCCUGCCGCGCCAAUGGUGAGUCGCUCCUCCCUCCCUCCUCGCUGCGACCCACGCGCCCUCGAAGCCACCGGAGUAGAGCGUGACGGUGGUAGCAUCCAGUGAGCGGCGCAGCUCUCUUUCUCCCUGCCCUUUCUCCCUCGCUCUCAUAACAUCCAUGCAUCUGGAGAUGGAGAGAACGGCGCGGCUCCGACGAGGUAGGUGGGGAGGGAUUUGGAUCUGAGGCCUCCCUCUCCCUUUUUCCUCCCUCCUCUUUUGUGGAUCUGGAUCUAGGCCCUCCUCUGCUCCUCCUUCUCCUCUUCCUCUAGGUCUAGAUCUAUGAGAUGUGUUGGCUAGGGUUCCGGCGAGCUCUUGGGAUUCAGUGCUCUCGCGUGUUGUAAUAGUGGUUAUUUGCAGUUUUUCAGGUGAUGUUGCAGUAGGAUAGGGUUUUCGGCAAGCUCUCGGCUUCAGAUUUUGUCAUUGUUGCAAUGGUUCUUUCUAGACGUUGCAGUAGGUUUCAGUCGUUGUUGCAGUAUUGUGUUUUUGAGAUGUUUCAGUUGCUUCAAUCUGCAUGUUGUAGUAUUUUGUUUUAUGUUAUUACAACAGUUGUUACUAUGUCUAUGGUGUUUCAGUUGCUCCAUCCAAUGCUUCAAUCUGCACUGUUGUAUUAGUUGUUGCAUAUUGUUGCAACAAUUGUUCGAUGUUGUUGUAAUACUAUGUCCAUGGUGUUUCGGUUGCUCCAUCCAAUGCUUCAACCUAUGCUAUUGUAUUAGUUGUUACAUGUUGUUGCAACAGCCGUUCGUUGUUGUUGUAAUACUAUGUUUAUGGUGUUUCAGCUGUUCUAACCAAUACUUCAAUCUGUAUGUUGUAGUAAUUGUUUGCA